UCAUCUGUAGUAAAAGAAUUAUAUUAUCUUGAUAAGGUAAAGUUUAUAGAUGGA
rnacentral:tRNA from 1 species